AACGUAGGUGGCAAGCGUUGUCCGGAUUUACUGGGCGUAAAGGGCGUGCAGGCGGUUUGUUAAGUGCAGGGUGAAAGCUCCCGGCUCAACUGGGAGAGGUCCUUGCAUACUGGCGAACUCGAGGGAGGCAGAGGAAAGUGGAAUUCCCGGUGUAGUGGUGAUAUGCGUAGAUAUCGGGAGGAACACCUGUGGCGAAGGCGGCUUUCUGGGCCUUACCUGACGCUGAGACGCGAAAGCGUGGGGAGCGAACCGG
rnacentral:rRNA from 1 species